AAGAAACAACAGCCAGGGAGGCAGGAGGAAAACCGGGAGGACUGGCAUCACUGAAGCCAGAAGAGAGUUUCCAGAAGGAAGUGGGUCAGUGGAGCCAGAGGCUCCCGGGGGAUCUAGCAAGAACAGGAUUAGGAAGUAGGAGCCACAUUUAGCAACCAAAAGGUCACUGUUGACUGUGGCAAUGGAGCGGUGGGGGCACGCUGGCAGGCAGGGUUCCACGGUGAGUGGGAGGAGAGGAAGUGCCAGCAAAGUGAGAGCCUCUCCCCGACUGCUCCUUCACCCAGACUGCCGCUGGGUCAAGGGGCCUUGUGGGAAGUCCGGGGAGGAAGGAGAAGUGGGAGACCAGACGGUCCAGGUUAAGGACUGGUGCCAUCAUUCCCAGUACAAUGCCAGCUCCAUGAAGACAAGGGCCUUGCCGGUACCGGCCGUGGCUGUAUUUCCCCCACAUACAAACAGGGCAAGUGCUCAGAAAUGUCCAAGAAACCGAAUGAAGGAAAAAAGGAAGGAAAAGAGGAUUCGGCCUCGGUUUUGCCUCUUCCGUAAAUCCCAAGGCAAGGUUCUGAACAAAUAAAACUCAACUCUCCCCACUCCAGACACCCCCCUUCUUCCAUCACUUAUUGGGGGCCUACCAGGCUCUGGACACCGUAGCACACGUUUUAUAAGCAUUAACCUGCCUAUAACCCUCACAUCAGCCCUACCAGGUGCUCUGGGUUAGGACUAGUUCCACCUCCCCCACAAGAAAGGUGAGGCUUAGAGAGAUGGAGGGCCUUGCCUGGCAUCCCACUGAGGACGCGGAAAGCUGAGAUUUAAACCCAGGUCUGUCUUGCCCAUCACACUCAGCUGACUGCCAUUCAGAAGGUGGUAUCCUAGCUAACUGAGGACGGCCCAAAGCAGAAUAAGGGCCCUCUUCCCCCCUCCACUAAGUCUAACCGCUCUGCCUCUACUAAUGAGGCCAAAGCAUGCUGGCUCACAGCCCCAUAUGGGGGAGAAAAGGAAGAAAAGCUCCCGCGCCCGAAGGGGACCUGCACUCACCGGUCUGGAUGAGGCCAGAGCUGCUGUCUCCGAUGCUGAAGAACUGCUCAAUGUCCGGAAGGACGCCUGGGAAGAAGACUCGGGAUGGGCUCGGCGAGGCAGCCGUGGCUCCAGAGCCUCCCCAGCCCCGUGCCCUAGUGGGACGCCCUCCCCGAAGUCAGUACCCGCCA